rnacentral:lncRNA from 1 species
CACAGUCACACCCUCACCUCGUGUGCUGGCCUCUCCGCCAGGUACAGGCAUCCUGCUGGCUCUAUUCUCUACACUACAUGAGCUGCACACACUUGGGCCCACAUAGACAGCUUUCUACCUGCAGAGAUGAGGCUGAAUCUGGAACAACUCUUCAAGUCCUUGCUCUGUCAGUUGUAAACUAAGUGACCUGCAGCAAAUCCCUUCAGGUAAGGGUCUGGGUGAUGGGCCCAUCUGAUCCUUCUCUGAAAACUGAAUAUACAGAGUACUUGCCUUGUCAUAGUGCUGAGAGAAAUAACUGAAAUAUAGUGCUUAGCCCCUGGUAAGAAGUCAGCAGUAUGGACCAACUGUCGUAGCACACAUCUGUAAUCUCAGCACUCUAGAGGCUGAGGCAGGAGGAUCACCAUGAGUUUGAG